GAUGAACGCUGGCGGCGUGCUUAACACAUGCAAGUCGAACGGAAAGGCCCAAGCUUGCUUGGGGACUCGAGUGGCGAACGGGUGAGUAACACGUGGGUGAUCUGCCCUGCACUUCGGGAUAAGCCUGGGAAACUGGGUCUAAUACCGGAUAGGACGAUGGUUUGGAUGCCAUUGUGGAAAGUUUUUUCGGUGUGGGGUGAGCUCGCGGCCUAUCAGCUGGUUUGUGGGGUAAUGGCCUACCAAGGCGUCGACGGGUAGCCGGCCUGAGAGGGUGUACGGCCACAUUGGGUCUGAGAUACGGCCCAGCCUCCUACGGGCGGCAGCAGUGGGGAAUAUUGCACAAUGGGCGCGAGACUGCCGGAGGGAGGAAGCGUGGGGGAUGACGGACUUCGGGUUGUACACGAAUUUCGUUAGGGACGAAGCGUUUUUGUGCCGGUACCUGGAGAAGAAGCACCGGCUAACUACGU
rnacentral:rRNA from 1 species